rnacentral:snRNA from 1 species
CUAGUUACCUGGCAGGGGAGACACCAUGAGCAGGAAGGUGGCUUCCCCAGGGCGAGACUCACCCAUUGCACUUGGGGUGUGAUUGCCCCUAAGAUUUUCCCAAAUUCGGGAAACUCGACAAGGAUUAGGGGAAGC